GUCGGAGCGCGUGAASUAAACWGAACUCUUCGGAGUGACGUAUAGSGGWUGGAGCGGCGGAUGGGUGAGUAACACGUGGGCAACCUGCCUAYMAKACUGGGAUAACUUACGGAAACGUGAGCUAAUACCGGAUGAAACCUCUUAUCACCUGGUAAGAGGAUGAAAGAUGGCUUUUAGCUAUCACUUAUAGAUGGGCCCGCGGCGCAUUAGCUAGUUGGUGAGAUAAAAGCUCACCAAGGCAACGAUGCGUAGCCGACCUGAGAGGGUGAUCGGCCACACUGGGACUGAGACACGGCCCAGACUCCUACGGGAGGCAGCAGUAGGGAAUCUUCCGCAAUGGACGAAAGUCUGACGGAGCAACGCCGCGUGAACGAAGAAGGUUCUCGGAUCGUAAAGUUCUGUUGUUAGGGAAGAACACGUACCAUUCGAAUAGGGUGGUACCUUGACGGUACCUAACGAGAAAGCCCCGGCUAACUACGUGCCAGCAGCCGCGGUAAUACGUAGGGGGCAAGCGUUGUCCGGAAUUAUUGGGCGUAAAGCGCUCGCAGGCGGUUUUUUAAGUCUGAUGUGAAAUCUUGCGGCUCAACCGCAAGCGGUCAUUGGAAACUGGAGAACUUGAGGACAGAAGAGGAGAGUGGAAUUCCACGUGUAGCGGUGAAAUGCGUAGA
rnacentral:rRNA from 1 species